GUAGGUGGCAAGCGUUGUCCGGAACUAUUAGGCGUAAAGCGCGCGCAGGCGGUCCUUUAAGUCUGAUGUGAAAGCCCACGGGCUCAACCGUGGAGGGUCAUUGGAAACUGGGGGACUUGAGUACAGAAGAGGAAAGCGGAAUUCCAAGUGUAGCGGUGAAAUGCGUAGAGAUUUGGAGGAACACCAGUGGCGAAGGCGGCUUUCUGGUCUGUAACUGACGCUGAGGCGCGAAAGCGUGGGGAGCAAACAGGAUUAGAUACCCUGGUAGUCCACGCCGUAGACGAUGAGUGCUAAGUGUUAGGGGGUUUCCGCCCCUUAGUGCUGCAGCUAACGCAUUAAGCACUCCGCCUGGGGAGUACGGCCGCAAAGGCUG
rnacentral:rRNA from 1 species